rnacentral:rRNA from 1 species
AUUGAACGCUGGCGGCAGGCUUAACACAUGCAAGUCGAGCGAGCGGCGGACGGGUGAGUAAUGUCUUGGAAACUGCCUGAUGUAGGGGGAUAACUACUGGAAACGGUAGCUAAUACCGCAUACCAUCAGAUGUGCCCAGAUGGGAUUAGCUAGUGGGUGGGGUAAUGGCUCACCUAGGCGACGAUCCCUAGCUGGUCUGAGAGGAUGACCAGCCACACUGGAACUGAGACACGGUCCAGACUCCUACGGGAGGCAGAAGUGGGGAAUAUUGCGCAAUGGGGGAAAGCCUGAUGCAGCCAUGCCGCGUGUGUGAAGAAGGCCUUCGGGUUGUAAAGCACUUUCGGCGAGGAGGCGUUACUCGAAGAAGAAGCACCGGCUAACUACGUGCCAGCAGCCGCGGUAAUAC